GAUGAACGCUGGCGGUGUGCCUAAUACAUGCAAGUCGAGCGAACAGACGAGGAGCUUACUCCUCUGACGUUGGCGGCGGACGGGUGAGUAACACGUGGAUAACCUACCUAUAAGACUGGGAUAACUUCGGGAAACCGGAGCUAAUACCGGAUAACAUGUUGAACCGAAUGGUGCAACAGUGAAAGACGGUCUUGCUGUCACUUAUAGAUGGAUACGCGUCGCAUUAGCUAGUUGGUAAGGUAACGGCUUACCAAGGCAACGAUGCGUAGCCGGCCUGAGAGGCUGAGCAGCCACACCGGGACUGAGACACAGCCCAGAAUCCUACGGGAUGCAGCAGUGGGGAAUAGUGGAACAUGGGCGGAGGCAUGAUCCAGCAAUGACGCGUGAGUGAUGAAGGCAGUAGAGUUGUAAAGCUCUUUUACCCGAGAUGAUAAUGACAGUACCGGGAGAAUAAGCCCCGGCUAACUCCGUG
rnacentral:rRNA from 1 species